GACAGAGGUGCCAAGCGUUAGGCGGAAUCACUGGGCUUAAAGCGUGUGUAGGCGGAAUGGUAAGUACCUUGUGAAAUCCCGCGGCUCAACCGUGGAACUGCCUCAGAUACUGACGGCCUCGAGGGAGGUAGGGGCGAGCGGAACGGAUGGUGGAGCGGUGAAAUGCGUUGAUAUCAUCCGGAACUCCGGUGGCGAAGGCGGCUCGCUGGACCUCUUCUGACGCUGAGGCGCGAAAGCUAGGGGAGCAAACGGG
rnacentral:rRNA from 1 species